rnacentral:rRNA from 1 species
UACGAAGGGGGCUAGCGUUGCUCGGAAUUACUGGGCGUAAAGGGCGCGUAGGCGGAUCGUUAAGUCAGAGGUGAAAUCCCAGGGCUCAACCCUGGAACUGCCUUUGAUACUGGCGAUCUUGAGUAUGAGAGAGGUAUGUGGAACUCCGAGUGUAGAGGUGAAAUUCGUAGAUAUUCGGAAGAACACCAGUGGCGAAGGCGGCAUCCUGGACCGGCAUUGACGCUGAGGAGCGAAAGCCAGGGGAGCAAACGGG